AGGCGUGUGCCUCCUCAUGGAACACAGGGUCGGAGUCGGCUAGGAGGGAUAAGAGUACAAUAGAGGGUUGUGUGACACAGACAGGCUGCCAGCCCUCAGCAUGGACCCGGCACAUGGAAUCUGUGAUCUUAAAAGAGUCAAGUGACUACCUUUGGCAACCAAAAGAGACACUGCCUUUUAGAAGGCAUAUCAUCUGAAACUGGCUGAAAGAGCUGUCUUACUUAGGAAGAAAAAUCUCUCCUUUGGAAAGAGCUGGAACUUUUAGUAAAACUGAACAGUGAGGUGGCGGAAGAUAAAUAUGCUGAGGCAUGUUUUCAAGGAGGGGAGAGAGAUUCCUUUUCCUCAGCCGGGCACAGAGCCAACCUGAAGUGUAGCACUGUGGUGACCUGGCGGGAUCUGCUCUCCAGUCACUCCCGAGGGCCCUUCUGGGGACAAGGAGACUUUUCUGUGCGGCCUGUUGAUUUGAGUGUGGUGGCACGUGCCUAUAAUCCCAGCUACUCGGGAGGCUGAGGCAGGAGAUUUGCUUGAAUUCUGGAGGCGGAGGUUGCAGUGAGCUGAGAUCACAUCUCUGCACUGGGCGACAGAGUGAGACUCCAUCUCAAAAACACCCCACAAAAACUGUAUUUCAUUCAAACAUAAUCUGUUUUAGAGUCUCCAAUUCAUAGAUAUUUAAGUCAUCUCUGUUUUUGCUAUUUCUUAUUCAAUGAUGGAAAUCUUUGUACAUAAAUUGUUGUACAUAAAUCUUUGUACAUAAA
rnacentral:lncRNA from 1 species